rnacentral:rRNA from 1 species
UCUCAACAAUUAUCGUUCUAAUUGAAAAUUGAAAUGUUUUGAUGAAGGAGGAAUUAUUAGGAAUCAUUGGUUAGUUAUUCAAUGGUGGACAGGAUAUAAGUUUUGUACAUACCGCCCGUCAAGCAAAAAGCAGAGUUGAAUAUGAAAAUGGCAUAAAAUAAAAGCUAUUUUUUGUGCUUUCUAAUUUGUGUUAAGUCGAAACAUGGUUGCCAAUAAGGAAUUAUUGGCAGGACCA